rnacentral:rRNA from 1 species
GAUGAACGCUGGCGGCGUGCCUAAUACAUGCAAGUCGAGCGAACGGACGAGAAGCUUGCUUUUCUGAUGUUAGCGGCGGACGGGUGAGUAACACGUGGAUAACCUACCUAUAAGACUGGGAUAACUUCGGGAAACCGGAGCUAAUACCGGAUAAUAUUUUGAACCGCAUGGUUCAAAAGUGAAAGACGGUCUUGCUGUCACUUAUAGAUGGAUCCGCGCUGCAUUAGCUAGUUGGUAAGGUAACGGCUUACCAAGGCAACGAUGCAUAGCAGACCUGAGAGGGUGAUCGGCCACACUGGAACUGAGACACGGUCAAGACUCCUACGGGAGGCAGCAGUAGGGAAUCUUCCGCAAUGGGCGAAAGCCUGACGGAGCAACGCCGCGUGGGUGAUGAAGGUCUUCGGAUCGUAAAACUCUGUUAUUAGGGAAGAACAUAUGUGUAAGUAAAUGUGCACAUCUUGACGGUACCUAAUCAGAAAGCCACGGCUAACUACGUG